AUGCGUUCCAUUGUGUUAACCUUUUGCGUACUAAGGAAUACUCCUAAUUUAGAAGAACUUGAAAUUACGACCUAUGGUGAUGGGGAUGCACCUGAAACAAAUGCAGAGUUUCUAAAUACACAAUGGACUGAUGCCUUCUGUGCCAACCUUCAGGCUGUGAAAAUGAAAAAUAUUGGCUGGUUGCAAAAUGAAAUGUAUUUCAUAGAGCUCGUUUUAUCUAAAGCAGCAGUUCUUCGCACAAUGCAUCUUAGUCUUGGUUGCAGAAGAUCAAAGUCAAAUGAGGAUGCACUCUGUGAACUAAUGACAUAUAGAAGGGCUUCAACCCAUGCUCGAGUCUUCUUUGACGGUAAAAUGAAAUGA
rnacentral:rRNA from 1 species